GAUGAACGCUGGCGGCGUGCCUAAUACAUGCAAGUCGAGCGAACGGACGAGAAGCUUGCUUCUCUGAUGUUAGCGGCGGACGGGUGAGUAACACGUGGAUAACCUACCUAUAAGACUGGGAUAACUUCGGGAAACCGGAGCUAAUACCGGAUAAUAUUUUGAACCGCAUGGUUCAAAAGUGAAAGACGGUCUUGCUGUCACUUAUAGAUGGAUCCGCGCUGCAUUAGCUAGUUGGUAAGGUAACGGCUUACCAAGGCAACGAUGCAUAGCCGACCUGAGAGGGUGAUCGGCCACACUGGAACUGAGACACGGUCCAGACUCCUACGGGAGGCAGCAGUAGGGAAUCUUCCGCAAUGGGCGAAAGCCUGACGGAGCAACGCCGCGUGAGUGAUGAAGGUCUUCGGAUCGUAAAACUCUGUUAUUAGGGAAGAAAAUAUGUGUAAGUAACUGUGCACAUCUUGACGGUACCUAAUGAGAAAGCAACGGCUAACUACGUG
rnacentral:rRNA from 1 species